rnacentral:rRNA from 1 species
UACGGAGGGAGCUAGCGUUGUUCGGAAUUACUGGGCGUAAAGCGCACGUAGGCGGCUUUGUAAGUUAGAGGUGAAAGCCCGGGGCUCAACUCCGGAAUUGCCUUUAAGACUGCAUCGCUUGAAUCCAGGAGAGGUGAGUGGAAUUCCGAGUGUAGAGGUGAAAUUCGUAGAUAUUCGGAAGAACACCAGUGGCGAAGGCGGCUCACUGGACUGGUAUUGACGCUGAGGCACGAAAGCUAGGGUAGCGAACGGG